rnacentral:lncRNA from 1 species
GUUAUAGUUAUGUAGAGAUGAAUGCCAGCUGUCUCUGUGUGUGUGUGUGUAGGAGCUGGGUUAUAGUUAUGUAGAGAUGAAUGCCAGCUGUCUCUGUGUGUGUGUGUAGGAGCUGGGUUAUAGUUAUGUAGAGAUGAAUGCCAGCUGUCUCUGUGUGUGUGUGUAGGAGCUGGGUUAUAGUUAUGUAGAGAUGAAUGCCAGCUGUCUCUGUGUGUGUGUGUGUAGGAGCUGGGUUAUAGUUAUGUAGAGAUGAAUGCCAGCUGUCUCUGUGUGUGUGUAGGAGCUGGGUUAUAGUUAUGUAGAGAUGAAUGCCAGCUGUCUCUGUGUGUGUGUGUAGGAGCUGGGUUAUAGUUAUGUAGAGAUGAAUGCCAGCUGUCUCUGUGUGUGUGUGUAGGAGCUGGGUUAUAGUUAUGUAGAGAUGAAUGCCAGCUGUCUCUGUGUGUGUGUGUGUAGGAGCUGGGUUAUAGUUAUGUAGAGAUGAAUGCCAGCUGUCUCUGUGUGUGUGUGUGUAGGAGCUGGGUUAUAGUUAUGUAGAGAUGAAUGCCAGCUGUCUCUGUGUGUGUGUGUAGGAGCUGGGUUAUAGUUAUGUAGAGAUGAAUGCCAGCUCUGUCUCUGUGUGUGUGUGUGUGUAGGAGCUGGGUUAUAGUUAUGUAGAGAUGAAUGCCAGCUGUCUCUGUGUGUGUGUGUGUAGGAGCUGGGUUAUAGUUAUGUAGAGAUGAAUGCCAGCUGUCUCUGUGUGUGUGUGUGUAGGAGCUGGGUUAUAGUUAUGUAGAGAUGAAUGCCAGCUCUGUCUCUGUGUGUGUGUGUGUAGGAGCUGGGUUAUAGUUAUGUAGAGAUGAAUGCCAGCUGUCUCUGUGUGUGUGUGUGUAGGAG